GACGAACCGUGCAAACGUUAUUCGGAAUCACUGGGCUUAAAGCGCGUGUAGGCGGGACGGCACGUCGGUCGUUGAAAUCCCCCGGCUCAACCGGGGAAUGGGCGCCGAUACGACCGUCCUGGAGGAACGUAGGGGGACCUGGAACUUCCGGUGGAGCGGUGAAAUGCGUAGAGAUCCGGAGGAACACCGACGGCGCAGGCAGCGUCCUGGCCGCUUGCUGACACUGAGGCACGAAAGCUGGGGGAGCAAACAGG
rnacentral:rRNA from 1 species